GUCACAAUAGAGGUUCAUACCUCUCGAAGCUACCUUAAUAUCAACAUACCCGAUAUUGACACAAGUAGGUAGGUAGAGAAUACGUAGGGGCGUGAGACAAUUUCCUAUAAAGAACUUGGAAAAAUAUACCUUUAACUUCGGGAGAAGGGGUGCCUCCUUGGGAGGUUGUAGUAAUGAAGGUCAAGUGGCUAUUUACUAAAAACACAAGUCUCUACAAAUCCAUAAGACCAUGUAUGGGGGUUGACACUUUUUUAGUGUCUAGUGAAUCAUAGUUGUAACUAUAACAAUUCAAGGGUAGUAUAAUUCCUUAUCGGGCAAGUUCCAACUUGCACAAAAGGAAUAACGAUCUGGGCAUUGUAUCAAAGAGAGAUUCAAUGAAA
rnacentral:ncRNA from 1 species